UWCGUUGAAACUAAUAUCAUUCAACGACGAAAAAAAACAUUUCCUCUUCCCCGCCGAUACGAAAUCAUAGCCGGUUGUUGAAAUCCUUUUAUUUAUUGCGUAAGCCAGCAAGAACUUGACUUUUCAAAUUAAUCAAUAUUAAUAGCUGCCUGUCAGUCAGCAGCCAAUUAUACUUGCUUCAGUUCUAUUCUCGGUAAAUUUAUGAAGAGACAGCCAGAUUCAGUUUCACAGGUGCUACCCAUUACGUGUCUGAAAAUAAUGGUAUUUCAAACCAAAACAAUUCACUAGAUCACGAAGUUUAGAAUUGUCACGCAAGGCUGCUGACUCAGUUUGUGUACUGUUUCGUUGUUGAACGCUGCUGCUAUUUUCUGUUUGUUGCUGUUGUUGUUGUUGACAGUAUUUCAAGCCUCCUUCGCUGCGUGGCUGCUGUGUUCCUGGUCAAGAUUAUCAACACAGGGAGACCAAAAUUAUUGAUGAGACCAAAUGGAUUAACCUGCGAAGAAGGCUAGAUCGUGACCAGAUAGCAGGGUUUCUUGAUAAGAUUUUGUGGCCAAUCAAAAGUAGCCUGUGUACAUCCGUGUCUACAACAGAUGCACGGAAUCUAAUCAAAAGCGAUACAAGAUUAAAAGUGACGGGAAAACACCGCAAUAGGAAAUCAUUUACUGAUCUUUAUCAUCAGAUUCAAGAAGCUCUCUCGUAACCCUUGGAGUAUAUGGAUAUUUAUUGACUGUACAGUCCCGUCUGAGGGACAAAAGAAAAGAUUCUAGUUCCYAAGGAGGCAAAGUCUUUUGUUUUGUCUUCCAAAUGAAGCUGCUUUGAUAAUACAAGGGACAAACACACCUGUA